GUGCCAGCCGCCGCGGUAAUACGGAGGGUGCAAGCGUUGUCCGGAAUCACUGGGCGUAAAGGGUGCGCAGGCGGGGCAGCAAGUCGGAGGUGAAAGCCCGUGGCUCAACCACGGAAGUGCCUUCGAAACUGUUGCUCUUGAGUCCCGGAGAGGUUGCCGGAAUUCGUGGUGUAGCGGUGAAAUGCGUAGAUAUCACGAGGAACACCAGAGGCGAAAGCGGGCAACUGGACGGGUACUGACGCUCAGGCACGAAAGCGCGGGGAGCAAACAGGAUUAGAUACCCCAUAUCC
rnacentral:rRNA from 1 species